rnacentral:lncRNA from 1 species
AAAUGAUUAGUGCCCUUUCUGUGUAAUCUGACUAGAACAUUGUAAAGCUGUAAAACAAGGUGCUCUGUUAUCCGCGGACCCUUAUCACCAAGGCGAGGAGAAAACCCAGUGACUCCACUUUCACCUCCCCCACUGGUGACUCCAGGUUCACAUUCCGCACCAGAGGCACCAGGUUCAUCUUCCCCACCAGAGAAACCAGGCUCAUCUUCCUGACCGGUGACACCAGGUCCACCUUCCCCACCAGUGACUCCAGGCUCACCUUCCCCAUCCAGGUCCACCUUCCCCACUGGAGACACCAGGCUCACCUUCCCCAUCCAGGUCCACCUUCCCCACUGGAGACACCAGGUCCACCUCCCCCACUGGAGACACCAGGUCUACCUCCCCCACUGGAGACACCAGGUCCACCUUCCCCACUGGUGACUCCAGGCUCACCUUCCACAUCCAGGUUUACCUUCCUCACCUGGGACACCAGGUUCACCUUACUCCAGGUUCAACUUCCCCACUGGUGACUCUAGGCUUACCUUCCCCACUGGAGACACCAGGCUCAACUUCCCCACCAGUGACAGCAGGCUCACCUUCCCCUCCAGUGACACCAGGUCCACCUUCCCCACCAGUGGCAUCAGAGACAUGGGGCCCCACUCCCCACUGUGACACUACUGACCCCUUACCCACCAGUGUCACAGGCUUCCCUUUUCCAGAAUUGGCCCAGGCCUUCCUUCCCCACUGCAGUGAGAGGGCAGAGCUCCC